rnacentral:rRNA from 1 species
AACACAUGCAAGUCGAGGGGUAACAGGGUAGCAAUACCGCUGACGACCGGCGCACGGGUGAGUAACGCGUAUGCAACCUGCCUAUAACUGGGGAAUAGCUCCCUGAAAGGGGAAUUAACACCGCAUAACACUAUUGAUUCGCAUGGAUUGGUAGUUAAAUGUAGCGAUACAGGUUAUAGAUGGGCAUGCGUGACAUUAGCUAGUUGGUGAGGUAACGGCUCACCAAGGCUACGAUGUCUAGGGGUUCUGAGAGGAAGGUCCCCCCACACUGGUACUGAGACACGGACCAGACUCCUACGGGAGGCAGCAGUGAGGAAUAUUGGUCAAUGGGCGCAAGCCUGAACCAGCCAUGUCGCGUGCAGGAAGAACCUGCCCUAUGGGUUGUAAACUGCUUUUAUAGUAGAAGAAACACAUCUACGCGUAGAUGUCUGCCAGUAUACUAUGAAUAAGCAUCGGCUAACUCCGUGCCAGCCGCCGC